rnacentral:sRNA from 1 species
AUGGACCCCAAACAGACCACCCUCCUGUGUCUUGUGCUCUGUCUGGGCCAGAGGAUUCAGGCACAGGAAGGGAGGUAUAUUAGCGAGCAUUUUUGGUGUUGAAGUUUGGGCUGCAAUCCGGUAAAUGAUGCUUACGCACAACGGCCAGGGGACUCUCCCAUGCCUUUCAUAUCUGCCAAAUCGAGUCCUGUGAUUCCCUUGGAUGGAUCUGUGAAAAUCCAGUGCCAGGCCAUUCGUGAAGCUUACCUGACCCAGCUGAUGAUCAUAAAAAACUCCACGUACCGAGAGAUAGGCAGAAAACUGAAGUUUUGGAAUGAGACUGAUCCUGAGUUCAUCAUUGACCACAUGGACGCAAACAAGGCAGGGCGCUAUCAGUGCCAAUAUAGGAUAGGGCACUACAGGUUCCGGUACAGUGACACCCUGGAGCUGGUAGUGACAGACUCCAUCCACCAAGAUUACACGAUACAGAACUUGAUCCGCAUGGCCAUGGCAGGACUGGUCCUCGUGGCUCUCUUGGCCAUACUGGUUGAAAAUUGGCACAGCCAUACGGCGCUGAACAAGGAAGCCUCGGCAGAUGUGGCUGAACCGAGAUGGAGCCAACAGAUGUGUCAGCCAGGAUUGACCUUUGCAUGAACACCAAGUGUCUGCAAGUAA